rnacentral:lncRNA from 10 species
CUUGAAUUUAGUUAAAUAUGCACCCUUCCUGCCUUUACUCAAGAAGUUCAGUGUUUCCAAAGCUAUGAUUUAAGGGUAAACAUUCUUCCUCUCUGCAUCUUAGGGCUUCUGAUAUUCUGGAGAAACCAGUGUUAUCUGAGUGUCAAAGCUCAGUUAUUAACCCUUUCUCAGAGUUUCUGGAUAAUGUUAUUAGCUUUCAAGCACGUGAUGCUUCUCAAGAGAGCUGUUGACUUCCAGUCUGACCAAAUUCUUUCACGUCGUGGCGUGUACGAUGUAUAAAAGUUUUGGAAUGUCUCUGAGAUGACUUCUUCAGCCAAAAUCUCAUCCACUCCUCUGCGUCCGUCCACAUGUCCUGGGAAGCCUUCCCUGAUCACCUCAGAGGAUUUCAACAUUUGGGAUGAUGGCUUUCAGGAUUGUGUCUUUCAGGAUUAUAAUCAGCUCCCAUUCUGGAGAAAACGCCAAUAUCU